rnacentral:rRNA from 1 species
GACGAACGCUGGCGGCGUGCUUAACACAUGCAAGUCGAGCGGUAAGGCCCUUUCGGGGGUACACGAGCGGCGAACGGGUGAGUAACACGUGGGUGACCUGCCCUCAGCUCUGGGAUAAAGCCCGGGAAACUGGGUCUAAUACCGGAUAUGACACCAUGACGCAUGUUGUGGGGUGGAAAGCCUUGUGCGGCUGAGGAUGGGCCCG